AUUUAAAAAUUUUUGAAAUAUUAUUUUUCAUUUUUAAUCAAAUUAUGUUAGUCUGCAAAAGUAUCAGAGGCAGUCUUGAUAAGUUUCAAUAAUGUAACAGAAGAAAUCAAAAGACUAGAGAAAAGGUCAUGACGAGUGGGUGGGUCAUUGAACCUUAUCACUAUAAAGAAAAACUACUCACAAAAGUCAUGUAUCUUGUGCAGGUUGAUAUGGGAGGAGUACCAGCAACACUGGUUAAUAUCGUGUCAAGACGUCAGCCAUUAGCAGUUGCAUAUUUACGUGAUUAUUUAGAAACAACUAGUUUAAA